rnacentral:tRNA from 1 species
GAGGUUGUGGCUCAGGGGUAGAGCACUUGCCUUGCACGUGUGAGCCCUGGGUUCUAUUCUCAGCACCACA